rnacentral:rRNA from 1 species
AUUGAACGCUGGCGGCAGGCCUAACACAUGCAAGUCGAACGAGUGGCGGACGGGUGAGUAAUGUCUGGGAAACUGCCCGAUGGCGGGGGAUAACUACUGGAAACGGUAGCUAAUACCGCAUACCAUCGGAUGUGCCCAGAUGGGAUUAGCUAGUAGGUGGGGUAACGGCUCACCUAGGCGACGAUCCCUAGCUGGUCUGAGAGGAUGACCAGCCACACUGGGACUGAGAGACGACCCAAGCGCCGACGGGAGGCAGCAGGGGGGAAUAUUGAACAAUGGGGGAAACCCUGAUGCAGCGACGCCGCGGGCGGGAUGAAGGCCUGCGGGUUGUAAACCGCUUUCAGCCAUGACGCGGUAGUGGCAGAAGAAGCACCGGCUAACUACGUGCCAGCAGCCGCGGUAAUAC